rnacentral:rRNA from 1 species
GACAGAGGGUGCAAACGUUGUUCGGAAUUACUGGGCGUAAAGCGCGUAUAGGCUGUUCGGCAAGUCGGGUGUGAAAGCCCUGGGCUCAACCCAGGAAGUGCACUCGAAACUCCCGAACUCGAGUCCCGGAGAGGAAGGCGGAAUUCUCGGUGUAGAGGUGAAAUUCGUAGAUAUCGAGAGGAACAUCGGUGGCGAAGGCGGCCUUCUGGACGGUGACUGACGCUGAGACGCGAAAGCGUGGGGAGCAAACAGG